CGGCAAGCAUGAUCGCUGCUGCCAGUGGGCGACUGAUCACGUUGCGGAUCGCAACAUCCUUGGUGAAUCCGCCGGCGAUCACCUCGGAGAUCAAGAACGCAGCGAACAGCGUGAUCACGGCCAACAGGAAUCGCCAUCCGGACCGCAGCCGGCCUUCCC
rnacentral:misc_RNA from 1 species